rnacentral:rRNA from 1 species
UACAGAGGUCCCAAGCGUUGUUCGGAUUCACUGGGCGUAAAGGGUGCGCAGGUGGGUUUGCAAGUUCGAUGUGAAAGCCCCGGGCUUAACCCGGGAAUGGCAUUGGAUACUGCAGAUCUGGAGGAUCGGAGGGGGGACUGGAAUUCUUGGUGUAGCAGUGAAAUGCGUAGAUAUCAAGAGGAACACCAGUGGCGAAGCGAGUCCCUGGACGAUACCUGACACUGAGGCACGAAAGCUAGGGGAGCAAACAGG